UUCUUAUUGGAUAAUAAUUAUCGCGUGUCAUGUUCUGAUUGAAUGUUAACUACAUGGAAGAUAAAAUACAUUGUUGUUGUCAUUGGCCAAUUAGAACAUGUGACGGUCAUCAUUU
rfam:Glycine max cultivar Williams 82 chromosome 16, whole genome shotgun sequence.